rnacentral:misc_RNA from 1 species
GAUGAGAACGCAGCGAAAUGCGAUACUUGGUGUGAAUUGCAGAAUCCCGUGAACCAUCGAGUCUUUGAACGCAAGUUGCGCCUCAAGCCAUUAGGUUGAGGGCACGUCUGCCUGGGCGUCACAUAUCGUUGCCUGAUGCCAGUUUCCUCGUGCUGGGUGACUGUGCAGGGCGAAUGAUGGCUUCCCGUGAGCAUUGUUGCCUCAUGGUUGGUUGAAAAUUGAGUCCUUGGUAGGGAGCGCCGUGAUAGAUGGUGGUUGAGUGACGAACGAGACCCAAUCAUGUGAGACCCCUACCGAAUUUGGCCUUCAUGACCCACAUGCGUCUUUGGAACGCUCAUGACGAGACCUCAGGUCAGGCGGGGCUACCCGCUGAGUUUAAGCAUAUCAAUAAGCGGAGGA